UCUCGUAACACCCCAAUAAUCUUAUAUCAGAUGAAAAAAACUUGAUUAGGAACAUAAGAAACUGCACAUCCUAAUAAUAAUAAUAAUAAUAACUGAAUAUAAGUAUUUUGAACUAGUAGUUUGGGUUUAACGAAUUAUUAUUGGCAGCGGAUUGAAUCAUUACAGUUGAUAUCAGUACUGAAUAUCAACCGAAAGUAUGAUAGUCGAGUGCUAUAUGGGGCAAAAUGCUACACUACCUUUAGAAUCUCAUCUCACAUC
rnacentral:lncRNA from 1 species